UACUUGAUGCCUCCUCGUUGGACCUGGCUGGUUAAUUUUGAUGUUUUAUUUGGAUUUCUGUUCUUGUUAAGAAGCACAACUCGUACUUAUUCACAAUCAAAUUUCAGUGAUUUACCAAGAUAUGGGUCAAGAAGCUUUAUGCCUUAUGUGGAGAAUCUUUGUUCUGGAACGCUUUUAACAUUUUUUUCUAUAUUUUAUAUGGUAACAUUA